rnacentral:rRNA from 1 species
UACGUAGGGUGCGAGCGUUAAUCGGAAUUACUGGGCGUAAGCGUGCGCAGGCGGUUUUGUAAGUCUGACGUGAAAUCCCCGGGCUUAACCUGGGAAUUGCGUUGGAGACUGCAAGGCUGGAGUCUGGCAGAGGGGGGUAGAAUUCCACGUGUAGCAGUGAAAUGCGUAGAGAUGUGGAGGAACACCGAUGGCGAAGGCAGCCCCCUGGAUCAAGACUGACGCUCAUGCACGAAAGCGUGGGGAGCAAACAGG